AAGGUUUUUAGUUCACCGCUGCUAACGGUGAAGUGGGUUAUUAGUGAUCCGACUUUCUUA
rnacentral:tRNA from 1 species